rnacentral:rRNA from 1 species
AAAUCCAAAACUGCAAAGUCGACGAGAGACCUUCGGGUCUCUAGUGGCGAACGGGUGAGUAACACGUAGGGAACCCGCCCACGCACCGGGAAUACGCUCUGGAAACGGAGAACAAAUCUCGAUGUACAGGAAGGAGGCAUCUUCUUUCUGUGAAACAUCCUUUCGGGGAUGGGGCGCGGAUGGACCUGCGGUGCAUUAGUUUGUUGGCGGGGUAAAGGCCCACCAAGACGAUGAUGCAUAGCCGGCCUGAGAGGGCGGACGGCCACAUUGGGACUGAGACACGGCCCAGACUCCUGCGGGAGGCAGCAGUAGGGAAUUUUCGUCAAUGGGCGCAAGCCUGAACGAGCGAUGCCGCGUGAGUGAAGAAGGCCUUCGGGUCGUAAAGCUCUGUUGCGGGGGAAAAAAGGCAGCAUCAGGAAAUGGGUGCUGACUGAUGGUGCCCCGCCAGAAAGUCACGGCUAACUACGUGCCAGCAGCCGCGGUAAUACGUAGGUGGCGAGCGUUAUCCGGAAUGAUUGGGCGUAAAGGGUGCGCAGGCGGUCCUGCAAGUCUGGAGUGAAACGCAUGAGCUCAACUCAUGCAUGGCUUUGGAAACUGGAGGACUGGAGAGCAGGAGAGGGCGGUGGAACUCCAUGUGUAGCGGUAAAAUGCGAAGAUAUAUGGAAGAACCCCCGUGACGAAGGCGGUUGCCUGUUAUGUUGCUGAUUUUUUAGAGCGAUAGCGUGGGCAGCAAACCCGAUUAAAUAUCCU